rnacentral:rRNA from 1 species
AAGUAUCGAUGAUAAUCAUAUAGUAACAUCAAAAAAGAAUAAAAAAAAGUAAUUCAAAGGGGUUAUUAAGGAAAACUAAGGCAAAUUUAUACAAAAGGAGGUCACAACCAAAAGCUUAUCCAAUAAAGAUUCGGUAUUAAAAAUAAUAAAUGAAGCUGUUUAUUGGUACCCAGAACAGUAAGCGAUCCUAAGGUAAAUCUUUUAAAAAUAACUUCCUGAAGUAAAACAUUUUAUUAAGGAAAGGAAAGGAAAUCAACCGAGACUCCGAAAGUAAUGGUGAGUGAAAUCGGAUUAGCCUAUUUGUUUUAUUAAUUGAAGGGGUUUUAAUUAAAAAUCCAGGAAUUUAACUAUUCUUUUCUCUUAUCAAAAAGCUACUCCUGCGUAGCAGGAGGCACAAUAAAAAAAGAUAUUAGAAAAAAAAUAAUAACAUUUCACCAUAGAAGGUAAAUCGAGUCCUGUAGAAAUAUAAAACAAAAAUUAAAAUUUAGAAAUUUAAAUAAUAAUUAAGUAAAUAAUUAUUUUAUUCUUAUAUAAUAAAUUUAAACAUUACAUUUAAAUAUUAGUUAAAACUAAAACUCAUUUAUAACCAAAAAGUCUAGCUUGCUUCGCUAGUAAUUAGUUUUUAUUCUAUGUAUUGCACUAAUAAUAAAGUUAUAAAUAAGUAUUCUAGAUUGGAGUACGAUGAGAGAUAACUUGUCGGAAUAAAGGGGAACCAUCCUCUAAGGCUAAGUAUUAUAAAUUUAGCGAUAGUGAAUAAGUACUGUAAAGGAAAAGUUUGAAAAGCAUGUAGUAUACAAAUAUUCGAUUAUUAAAACAAAAUUAAUUAAUUAAUAAAUAUUAUGUUUCUUAAUUAAAAUACUUUGUUUUAAUAAUUAAAUGCGGUGAAAUAGACCUUGAAUUAGUAACUCUAUAAGCAGUCGAAAUUCUAUUAUGAAUAUAAAAUAUUUAAGAAUAACGGCGUACCUUUUGCAUAAUGGGUCAGCAAGUUAAUAGGAGUAGCAAGGUUAAAAGCCCUAGCGAAAGCGACUGGACUAUAAAUUAUUUCUUUAUUUUAUAAAUAAAUAUAAUAAAAAUUAUAAUAAUAUACAUAGUGAUGGAUAAGUUACUUCUAUUAGACCCGAAGCCAGGUGAUCUUACCAAGACCAGAUUAUAAUGGAUCGAACGGUUGAAUGUUGCAUUAUUCUCCGAUGAGUUUUGGUAAGCGGUGAAAUGCCAAUCUGACCUGGUGCUAGCUGGUUUUCUACCGAAACAUAUUUAAGUAUGAUGUCUACAAAUAAUAUAAAAACAGAAAUUUAUGGAGGUACAGCAAGGCAAUUCCCAACAAAUUUAAGGUAAAACAAAAAUUCUUUUCUUGUUUUAUAUUUUUAUUAUUAUUUUUAUAAUAAUAAAAAUUCUAUUUAUAAGAUAAAAUAAUUUAUAUUAAAUUAACAGACACAAUAAGUAGCCUUAUCUGCGUUCAGGUUGCGGGGAUCUAGAAAAUCUUACCUUUGGAAGCGAAUCUCGGAAUUACAUAAAUUGAUGGUAGAUAUUCAGACUGCUCAUGCUAAGUUGGGCAGUCAAGACGGAAACAGCCGAGAACACUGAUCAAGGUCCCAAAUGAUUGUUAAGUGAAAUUAAGGACGUAGCAAUAUCGAAUACAGCUGUGAAGUGAGCCUGGCAGUCGCUACUUAUAAUGAUCGUAUGUAACAACGCAUCAGCAGUCUAGAUAGUAGCGCCGAAAAUUUAACGGGUCUUAAACAAUCAACCGAUAUCGUGUUGGUUAAUAAUAAUAAAUUUGUUAUUAAUCUAGGUAGUAGAACAUUCAGUAAAACUUUAAAUCAAAUAGUGUUUCAUUAUUUUGUAGGAUACUGAAGAGAGAAUGCUGACAUGAGUAACGUAAAAAGAAGUUAUAAUACUUCUCGCCGAAUACGAAAGGGUUGCAAAUAGGAAAGGUUAAUCCGUUUUGUUUUAAUGCGGCCUCUAAGGGAUGUAGCUAAAGCUACUACUGAUGAGUCUAUAAUAGAAAGUCUAAUAUUUAAAAAAUAGACCAGGAAAUGAAUAUUAUAUUACUACCGUACCCUAAACCGACACAGGUUCGUAGGUAGAGAAUACUAAGGCGUAGAGCUAAAAGUUGUUAAGGAACUCGGCAAGAUCUCCUCCUAAGUUUGACGACAAGAGGGACCGUUAUAAGCUAGUUUAUUUAUAUUCUUUGCGUAGCUUUUUAAAUUAAUUUAAAUUAAUAUUGACUUGCUACGCCACCAUAAAAAAAUCACUUAUAAUGGUGACACAAAAUCGGAGGCCACGACUGUUUACUAAAAACACAACACAGUGCAAUCAUUAAUAUGAUAGUAUACUGUGUGAAAUUUGCCCGAUGCCAUUAAUAUAAGAGCGAUCAUGGUUUUCUGUGAUUAAUCGAAAAUCUGGUUAAUAGCGGUCUUAACUAUGAGGAUCCUAAGGUAGCAAAAUAAAUUGGCCUUUAAAUGAGGUCCGGUAUCAAUAAUGUAACGAUGGUCUCACUGUCUCUACAACUUGCUCAGUGAAAUUGAAUUACGCGUGCAGAUGCGCGUUGCCUUCAGGGGGACGGGAAGACCCUAUGCAGCUUUACUGUAGUUAGUUAUCAUAUAAAUCUAGAACAAUCAAAAUUAAUAGUGAAUAGGUAAGUCGAUAGACAAAUAGUGGAAACCUUAAAAUUCUGAUUGGGUUUAUGUUUACCUUAAAUUUAAUAAAAAAAGGGAUAGUUUACUAAUUGGCAGUUUGACUGGGGCGGUCGUCUUUAAUAGAGUAGCAAAGUACAUCCAAAUAUUUCAUUUAAAACUAAAAAUUUAUUGUUUUAUAAAUUUUAUUACAAAAAACUUUAUUUUAGUAUAAUUUAAAGUAAUAAUUAAUUUUAAUUAAUUAACAUUCUAAAUUUUUCUUUCUAAUCAUUAAUUUUAUAAGGUAUAGCUAGAAAUUGAAUGGAGAUCAAUCAACCAGUGAAGGGUUGCGCAGAGUUCAAUGGCGAUAAGCAUGCUUAACUGAAAGACCUAAAAGUCGCACAGAUACGUAAGUAGGGCAUAGUGACCCCUCGCUAUAAUAUGGGAUAGACGGGGAUCAAUUGAUAAAAGUUACGCUAGGGAUAACAGGCUGAUCGCGGACGAGAGUACACAUUGUCUCCGCGGUUUGGCACCUCGAUGUCGACUCAUCCUAUCCUCCGGGGGAAGAAGCUUGGAAGGGUUCGGCUGUUCGCCGAUUAAAAGGGUACGUGAGUUGGGUUUAAUACGACGUGAGUCAGUAUGGUCCCUAUCUUCUGGAGGAAUAAUAGUAAAAAGGGGCAGACCUUCUAGUACGAAAGGAUCAAUAGGCUGUGUUUCUCUAGUGUACCAAUUGUUUGUAAUUUUUUUUAAUUAAAAAAAUAUGAAUGCAUAGUUGGGUAGCCACAAACAUAAUAGAUAAGUGCUGAAUGUCUAUAAAGCAAGAAUCUAACCCCUAGAUACUAAUAUGGCUAAUAAUAUUAAUUAUUGUUAUGAUGGGGCGGCUUAUUAUUAAUAAAUAAGCAACUCCAACAAAAUAAGUAACAUUUAA